UACGUAGGGUGCAAGCGUUGUCCGGAAUUAUUGGGCGUAAAGAGCUCGUAGGCGGUCUGUCGCGUCUGCUGUGAAAACUCAGGGCUUAACCCUGAGCUUGCAGUGGGGUACGGGCAGGACUAGAGUGCGGUAGGGGGAGACUGGAAUUCCUGGUGUAGCGGUGAAAUGCGCAGAUAUCAGGGAGGGAACACCGGGUGGCGAAAGGCGGGGUCUCUGGG
rnacentral:rRNA from 1 species